CACGUAGGGGGCGAGCGUUGUUCGGAUUUACUGGGCGUAAAGGGCGCGCAGGCGGCAGACCAAGUCAGGCGUGAAAGCCCCGGGCUUAACCUGGGAGGUGCGUCUGGGACUGGUAUGCUAGAGUUCGGGAGAGGAGAGUGGAAUUCCCAGUGUAGAGGUGAAAUUCGUAGAUAUUCGCAAGAACACCAGUGGCGAAGGCGGCUCACUGGCCCGGUACUGACGCUGAGGAGCGAAAGCUAGGGGAGCAAACGGGG
rnacentral:rRNA from 1 species